CGAACGAACUCUGGUAUUGAUUGGUGCUUGCAUCAUGAUUUACAUUUGAGUGAGUGGCGAACUGGUGAGUAACACGUGGGAAACCUGCCCAGAAGCGGGGGAUAACACCUGGAAACAGAUGCUAAUACCGCAUAACAACUUGGACCGCAUGGUCCGAGUUUGAAAGAUGGCUUCGGCUAUCACUUUUGGAUGGUCCCGCGGCGUAUUAGCUAGAUGGUGGGGUAACGGCUCACCAUGGCAAUGAUACGUAGCCGACCUGAGAGGGUAAUCGGCCACAUUGGGACUGAGACACGGCCCAAACUCCUACGGGAGGCAGCAGUAGGGAAUCUUCCACAAUGGACGAAAGUCUGAUGGAGCAACGCCGCGUGAGUGAAGAAGGGUUUCGGCUCGUAAAACUCUGUUGUUAAAGAAGAACAUAUCUGAGAGUAACUGUUCAGGUAUUGACGGUAUUUAACCAGAAAGCCACGGCUAACUACGUGCCAGCAGCCGCGGUAAUACGUAGGUGGCAAGCGUUGUCCGGAUUUAUUGGGCGUAAAGCGAGCGCAGGCGGUUUUUUAAGUCUGAUGUGAAAGCCUUCGGCUCAACCGAAGAAGUGCAUCGGAAACUGGGAAACUUGAGUGCAGAAGAGGACAGUGGAACUCCAUGUGUAGCGGUGAAAUGCGUAGAUAUAUGGAAGAACACCAGUGGCGAAGGCGGCUGUCUGGUCUGUAACUGACGCUGAGGCUCGAAAGUAUGGGUAGCAAACAGGAUUAGAUACCCUGGUAGUCCAUACCGUAAACGAUGAAUGCUAAGUGUUGGAGGGUUUCCGCCCUUCAGUGCUGCAGCUAACGCAUUAAGCAUUCCGCCUGGGGAGUACGGCCGCAAGGCUGAAACUCAAAGGAAUUGACGGGGGCCCGCACAAGCGGUGGAGCAUGUGGUUUAAUUCGAAGCUACGCGAAGAACCUUACCAGGUCUUGACAUACUAUGCAAAUCUAAGAGAUUAGACGUUCCCUUCGGGGACAUGGAUACAGGUGGUGCAUGGUUGUCGUCAGCUCGUGUCGUGAGAUGUUGGGUUAAGUCCCGCAACGAGCGCAACCCUUAUUAUCAGUUGCCAGCAUUAAGUUGGGCACUCUGGUGAGACUGCCGGUGACAAACCGGAGGAAGGUGGGGAUGACGUCAAAUCAUCAUGCCCCUUAUGACCUGGGCUACACACGUGCUACAAUGGAUGGUACAACGAGUUGCGAACUCGCGAGAGUAAGCUAAUCUCUUAAAGCCAUUCUCAGUUCGGAUUGUAGGCUGCAACUCGCCUACAUGAAGUCGGAAUCGCUAGUAAUCGCGGAUCAGCAUGCCGCGGUGAAUACGUUCCCGGGCCUUGUACACACCGCCCGUCACACCAUGAGAGUUUGUAACACCCAAAGUCGGUGGGGUGUCCCUUCUUAAGGGAAUACCC
rnacentral:rRNA from 1 species